rnacentral:misc_RNA from 1 species
UUGUGGAGGAGGACGCCGAAGGUGGGGCUAAUGACUGGGGUGAAGUCGUAACAAGGUAGCCGUACCGGAAGGUGCGGCUGGAUCACCUCCUAACAGGGAGACAACAAAAUGUUUAAUAUUAUUAUUUUGUCACCUUAGGUCGAUCGGUAUCUCACGUUUUUAAUUUAUUAAGAAUUUCAUUUCCUAAGUUUUUCUAGGUCACACCCAUUAUUUUACCUGGGCCAUUAGCUCAGGUGGUUAGAGCGCACCCCUGAUAAGGGUGAGGUCCCUGGUUCAAGUCCAGGAUGGCCCAUAUCUCUAUGUUGGGGGUAUAGCUCAGUUGGUAGAGCGCCUGCUUUGCAAGCAGGAUGUCAGCGGUUCGAGUCCGCUUACCUCCACUGAUUACCACCUCUUUCAUAAUCUGUAAAAAAGAAAUGUUUUGAGUUGUGAUCAAAUUCUGAACGAAUCUAGCUUCCUAAUGAAAACAUUAAGAUGCUGGACUCAUUGAAUUAAUUUCAUUGUUUUCAGAGAACCUUGACAACUGCAUAGAUUAUUUUUAAAGACAAUAAGCAUCUUUAAUGAUGCAGAUUUAUUAUUUGUGCGAAUGCAUUAAUAACAAUUCUAUUAAGCUGAUGCUUCAAUUUUGAAGUUAUUGGUCAAGCUACAA